UGAGGAAUAUUGGACAAUGGAGGCAACUCUGAUCCAGCCAUGCCGCGUGCAGGAAGACUGCCCUAUGGGUUGUAAACUGCUUUUAUACGGGAAGAAACACUGCUACGUGUAGCAGCUUGACGGUACCGUAAGAAUAAGGAUCGGCUAACUCCGUGCCAGCAGCCGCGGUAAUACGGAGGAUCCAAGCGUUAUCCGGAAUCAUUGGGUUUAAAGGGUCCGUAGGUGGAUAAUUAAGUCAGAGGUGAAAGUUUGCAGCUCAACUGUAAAAUUGCCUUUGAUACUGGUUAUCUUGAAUUAUUAUGAAGUGGUUAGAAUAUGUAGUGUAGCGGUGAAAUGCAUAGAUAUUACAUAGAAUACCAAUUGCGAAGGCAGAUCACUAAUAAUAUAUUGACACUGAUGGACGAAAGCGUGGGGAGCGAACA
rnacentral:rRNA from 1 species